AAAAAUAAGUUCCUUCUCCCAAUCUGGAUGACAUUUCAUUUAAAGCACUGUUAUCUUCCUUUCCUCUGUCCUUCCCCUGGUUCCCCAAAUCAGGAAGGCUCUAUUAACUCUGAGCUCAAACCGGACUCCUUUCUAUAACAUACCCUUCUAAAGCCAAUAUCCCAUCUGCCAGCCCUGGGCACAAUCUGCCAGGAGGCCUGAAGUUUUUGACAGUGCCCGCCAUUUCGUCCCCUCAGGUUACUUGGGGAUGGCAUGUCUGAGAAAACCACAGCUCCCAUCGGCCCCCACGUCAGGACCGAGGAAGGGGUGUCCCUGCUGCUCCUGCGGCUGACAGGCAUGGAACCAGAGCGGGGACCGGCCCUGGCCGUGUCCAGUCCCCACACCCUCCGUGUGCAGGGUACUGCCCGCUCCCGAGCCGCACCUCGCCGCUGCCUGCCACACCAGCUCCCUGGAGUGGCCCUGUGCGCCGGGUGAUGCCCGCUUCAGCUCCACGGUCACUGACGAGCUAGGUCCUCCGAGUGUCCUAGAACGGCUCCAAGGAUGCACUUCCUCCCUGGGACCGGCCGCUCUGCCCGCUGCUGUAGCUCCACAAGCAUUCAUCUGGACUUGAGACACUGGGAGUUGGCUUCACUUUCUCGCCGGACAGUGAUCGCGCCAUCCCCUUAGCCCCCUCCCCCACCCCACCUACAUCAUUUAUCCCGUCACUGCCUUCCCUGGGCUCCGUGAGUCUGGUGAACACAGGCCCCUAGAUCCUAGGAACAGGCCAGUCGUCUGCUAGAGGUGAAGGAAGACCUGCUCUUGAGGUCAGGAAAGGCUUCCCGGAGGGAGUGAUGUUUGGGCUGACAUCCGAAGGUUAAACGGGAAUCGCCCAGGGAGGGAGAGAGCGGCUCAGGCAAUGGGAACGGCAUUCUACCCUAGCCUCCUUAUUUCUUGAACUUGACCCUUCUCAUCUCAGAACCUUUGUACUUAUUGUUGCUUCCUCUGCCUUUCCUGUGCACCCAAGCUUGUUAUUCAGGUCUCAGUUCAAGGUCACAACGUUGGAGAAGCCUGCCAUCCUAUCUAAUGUUGCCUCAGACUAUGCCACGCCUCCCAAGUAUCAGUUACAGGGAAGGGCUGUGAUUGGCCUUGUUUAGGUCUGGUGCUCACCCCUGGACCAAUCAUUGUAUUCACGGGAAAGGGAUAGUAGGAUUAGCCAAAUCUGGGUCACCUGUCUUCCCCAGUUGUGGGGGCAGGCUUCUGUGUUUGCCGCACCAUAAUCCUGUGAAAUAGGGAAGGGAGUGACUAUUACCAGAAAGUAUAUAUAUAUGUCUAUCUCCAGUACACAAUCUAUCGGGGGGAAAAAGCUUUUGCUUGAGUUUUUGGGAUUAGGCUGUAGACUAUAGGGUUCAUCACUUUGGCCAUUCUCACACCAAUUUCCUUAACUCCUUUGCCCUACUGUCUGCAAUUGCCUGGGAAGUUUGUUAACCCUGGAUCAGUUGCAAUGUCCAUUUUGCUUGCCCAGGCUGCUGACAGCUAGU
rnacentral:lncRNA from 1 species